AUCUUGUUGGAUUAUACUUCAUAUUUUAUUCUUCCUUUUAAGUCUUUAUAGACACCUUUGCCUUACGGACUAUCAGAGUAACCGGAAGGCAGAAUGUGAGAACAGCUACUUGGAGUGUUUCAAACUAGAGGAAAUUGAUGCAAGUAUUCUCUAUUUGAGUGAAUUUUUAAACCAUCCAAGGUUUUAUAAGGGAAUAUAAUUAGAUAAUGUGUUUUAGGCUUGAGGAAGCUUAUAUCCAAGAUAUAAAUUCUAAAAAGAGAUAAAAACACAUGUUCAUAAUCAUAAUUGAUUUCAAUUUUAGACAAGGAUAGUCAUCCAAAAAACGAAUGUACUUGCAGAGCUUUUUAAAAUGACAUGUAUAAAAAUAUGGCACAGUCCAGCUUUUAUCUAGAGUGGAUGGAUCCCAGAAUGGUAGAGGACUGGAGUUGGGCUCACGAAACAAGGGGAGGAGAAAACAAACAACAAGUAGAAGGGGCCAGGCUCCAAGUGAAGACACAUGACCGGCGUGGCCCUGGACGAGCCGCUCCAUCUCCAGGGCCUCCGUUUUCUCAUCUACAGAGUAUUGCAUUGUACCUGCCCUGUCAACCCCACAGAUAUCGGAGGUAUUUGUAAAACAAUACUGUAAAUUGUUAUAAUACACGUAAGUCACUGAACCUUCCUUCAAAGGUUCAGAGCAAGAAAGGGAAGGGCACUGUACUUGAUGUCUUAAAAUAUUCAUGGAUGUUGUUAACAACCCACUGUUACUAUUCCAAGAAGAGUAAUCUUUCAGUUUGAAAAUGCAGAACUAAUAGCAGUAAUAGAAAAUAAAGCCCCAAAUAGGUGAGUGGUUGAUAGAAUGAAUGGCAAGGGUUUUUUUUCCUAAUUGUUCUUCCAGCCAUAUGUGAGGUUGUGGGUGAUCUGGUUUUUAAAUUUCAUGAGAGAAUGUCAACCCUACUUUGAUUUGUAAAGUAAAAAAGUAUCUGCCUUUGA